AGGGUUUGAUUUGGCUCAGGAUGAACGCUAGCUACAGGCUUAACACAUGCAAGUCGAGGGGCAGCGGGAUUGAAGCUUGCUUCAAUUGCCGGCGACCGGCGCACGGGUGAGUAACGCGUAUCCAACCUUCCGUACACUCAGGGAUAGCCUUUCGAAAGAAAGAUUAAUACCUGAUGGUAUGAUGAGAUUGCAUGAUAGCAUCAUUAAAGAUUUAUCGGUGUACGAUGGGGAUGCGUUCCAUUAGGUAGUAGGCGGGGUAACGGCCCACCUAGCCGACGAUGGAUAGGGGUUCUGAGAGGAAGGUCCCCCACAUUGGAACUGAGACACGGUCCAA
rnacentral:rRNA from 1 species